UCACCAGCGCUGACUAUGGGAUAACGGACAGGUCACCAGCACUGACUGUGGGAUAACCAACAGGUCACCAGUGGUCACUAUGAGAUAACCAACAGGUCACCAGCACUGACUAUGGAAUAACAGACAGGUCACCAGAGCCCAGGGAAGAACGAGGCCUGUGAGUGGGAAGACACUUGUGCUCGGGUCUGUGAGGUCACCAAUGGAACACAAACAUUCCAUGCCCCCUCCCUGCCCCCAUCUUGUCUGCUCCUACAAACCUCUCCCCGCAGGGAAAUACUGUUUUCCUCUCUCAGGACCAUUUUCUGGCUACAGGUGAAGUAACCACUGUCCUUUGUGGGUGUCCCUGCUCCUCCAGAAUCCCCACAGUUCACGGGGACUUACCCAGCCUCCCAGAAUCAGCAGAACUGUAAGUGCCCAAGAAGCUCAUCCAUGGAGUCCUGCCAAGCACCAGACAUUUGCUGCUGGGAUGUGCCUUUGGUUAGAGAAGCUUCAUUAUGAAGCGGACGACGGCUGAUUCAGAGGCUCAGAACUGCUCGACAACGCAUCCCUUACAAAUAACACUGAGUGUUCAGCUGUGGAUGGGUCAUCCAUACCAACCUCCUGCCAUCCAAGGCUCAGUCAGGGAAGUUCUUAGAAGAGGGGGACAGAAAGAGCCUAAGAGUCAGCAGAUGAUAGGGAAGCUGACAUUUGGACACAGCAUGGCUCCAAACUACCAGCUCACGGCGGCUGUGGUCACCUGCAUGACAUCAAAGCUGUUGAAGCUCCAACAUGGGUGGAGGAGGGGACCCCAAGACACACCUCUGUCAGGGGAGCUACUGCAGCUGAUGGUUGCCGAGGGAGGGGAAGCACCUCUCCUUUGGGGAUGUGGCCUGAUGGAAGGUUGGCCAGCCCCAGUGGAUAGCCAGGCAUCCACGGUCACAGGGGCAGAACUAACUGGAUUCAGGGUCACCACAAAAAUAAAUAAAUGCAAUGAAGACACGAAACUGGGAGGGAGAUCGGGUGAGCCACUCUGAGGAGCUGCAAGGAGGUAGUGUUGGAUGUAUAUGACCAAUAUACACUAUAUAACAUAUGGAACUUUCAAAGACUAAAAUAUUAUUAAAAUGAUGCUUUUAAAAAAAAUAAAGAAAGAAAAGCAUUCCAGCAUUUCAGGACUUCGCACCUCGAGCCCAGCACUCAGCAGGUCCUUACCUGACCCCUCCCAGCUGGGUUACAUACUAAGUCAUAAUCCUUAGGCAUUCUUAGCGUGAAUGAAUGAUGCUAGAAUUCUCUACCAGAUGAGCAAUUCGAGGUGCUGCAGUGAGGUGCACACAGACAGGGGCUCUGGAGGGAUUCAAACCUUGGUUCAAAGCCGGGCCCUUCCUCUUAUUUGCUGUGUGGCAUUGAGUGAAUUAUUGGCCCUCUCUGGUCACAGUAAAUAGUGAACCACCACCAGUGCACUGUUGCUG